UACGAAGGGUGCGAGCGUUGUUCGGAAUUACUGGGCGUAAAGGGUUCGUAGGCGGGAAGAUAAGUUACGUGUGAAAUCCCUGGGCUUAACCCAGGACGUGCACGUAAAACUAUCUUUCUUGAGUGUUGGAGAGGGUAGUGGAAUUGCUGGUGUAGGAGUGACAUCCGUAGAGAUCAGCAGGAACAUCAGAGGCGAAAGCGACUGCCUGGCCAAACACUGACGCUGAGGAACGAAAGCGUGGGGAGCAAAC
rnacentral:rRNA from 1 species